AUUUUGAUACGACUACACGUGUUGCUUGGAAACUGUGUCUGUGAAUAUUCUCAAUUUUAUGAUCAGAAAUUCUGUAAGAACCGAAGUAUUAUAAAGAUUCAAUAAAGAAAGACUCGAGGGAACAGUUGGGUGAUAUUUUUAUCGAUAUUUAACCGUACGGGGAAAAGAUCAAAAGCUGAAACCAUGUCUACGAAAUGCGAGGUUUGUAACAAGGUAUUUUCUACGAAAGGAAAUUUGGUGGCACAGAAACGAGCACAUACUAGAGAGAAACCUUAUGAAUGUAAUGUUUGCAACAAAAGAUUUUCGCGGUCAGACGACUUAGCUAAACAUGAAAGAACACACACUGGAGACAAACCUUAUGAAUGUGAUGUUUGCAACAAAAGGUUUUCGUGGCCAGACGGGUUAGCUAGCCAUGAAAGAACACAUACUGGAGACAAACCUUAUGAAUGCGAUGUUUGCAACAAAAGAUUUUCACACUCGAGCACCCUAACUAAACAUAAGAGAACACACACUGGAGACAAACCUUAUGAAUGCGAUAUUUGUAAGAGGAAAUUUUCACAAUCUGGCAACUUAGCUUCCCAUAAAAGAACACACACUCGAGAGAAACCUUGUGAAUGUGAUGUUUGCAACAAAAGAUUUUUGCAUUCAGACUACUUAGCUGUUGAUAAGAGAACACAUACUGGAUACAGACCUUAUGAAUAUCACAUUUGGAACACAAAAUUUUCAUAAUCACACAGUUUAACACGACAUAAAAUAUCAGCACACAAGGUAAAGCAGUGUUUUGAGUGUGUUAAAUGUAAGAAAAUAUUCACAGAACGUAAAGGUCUCAAACGUCACUGGAGAGUACAUUCAAAAGAUGGCUAAUUAUUAUUCUGCAACAGUUGUGGCAGGGAAAUUAUUCAGUCACAAGGCCAAGGACAUGCUAAUGAGAAACUGAGUGUUGAUCAUUUUGUCUGUGAUAAAUGCGACAAACAGUUCCCUGAUAUUGAAAGUUUAUAUCAGCACAAGGCCAAAGACCAUCAUACGUCCUACCAAUGUGGUAUUGGUUAUUGUGCAACUGGUAUUGGUUAUGUCUGUUGUGUCUGUGAUGCCGAGUUUGAAAUUGCAACUGAACUUGAAGAUCAUACCGGUAUGAGAAUGCAUAACAAUGUGCUUCCCCACUAGCAAGACAAGAUAAAUUGAUACUAUUUUGGGUUUAUUAGGCUGUUGCAAUAUGAAAAACUCAAUAUAUUGAUAUUCAAACAAAAAUAUCGACUAUAUUGAAUUAUGAAAUUAGAAAACAUAGUUCAGUCAGCCUGCAUAUUUUAGGGGUUCCGGUUCUUUGUUGACAUGCACAAUUGAUAAACGUUAAACCAAUCACAGCACAGGAAAAAUUCAAUUUCCCCAGAGCCAAUGCCAUCCUAGCCCGCGCACAGGCAUUGCUCUGGGUGCGAGAUUGGCAUGUAUACCCACGUCACAGUGGGUGGAGCCUGGGUGCGAGCCUGCGAUGUUGCACUGGGUGGAUGGAUUAUAAAUAGCCUAUUAUAAUAACCCAUGGUAUUUCAUGUAACCGAAAAUUUGUAUUAUUAUAUUGUGCAGUUGGUUUUGAAAAUAAAAAAA